GUGGGGAAUAUUGGGCAAUGGGCGCAAGCCUGACCCAGCAACGCCGCGUGAAGGAAGAAGGCUUUCGGGUUGUAAACUUCUUUUCUCAGGGACGAAAAAAAUGACGGUACCUGAGGAAUAAGCCACGGCUAACUACGUGCCAGCAGCCGCGGUAAUACGUAGGUGGCAAGCGUUAUCCGGAUUUACUGGGUGUAAAGGGCGUGUAGGCGGGAAAGCAAGUCAGGCGUGAAAACUGGGGGCUCAACCUCCAGCCUGCGUUUGAAACUGUUUUUCUUGAGUGUCGGAGAGGUAAUCGGAAUUCCGUGUGUAGCGGUGAAAUGCGUAGAUAUACGGAGGAACACCAGUGGCGAAGGCGGAUUACUGGACGAUAACUGACGCUGAGGCGCGAAAGCGUGGGGAGCAAACAGGAUUAGAUACCCGAGUAGUCC
rnacentral:rRNA from 1 species